AAGAACACAUGCAGAAGGUGCCACCUCUUCUGAAUCCCGGAUGAGGAUGUUGGGGACAACGGACUUUGUCACCGGACCUUUACUCUCAAUGACAGAACAUGGAAACAGAUUUUGAAGAGGAAAAAAAAUGAUUUAAUUUUCCAAACUGGAUUACAGGAGCUGGUGGUAAAGAGAGAAAGAGGAGGCUGGCCUUCCGAGGUGGGAAGAAAACUGGAAGAACAUUACUGGGCCACUGAGGAAAAGACACAAAUUGGCAAUAUUUGCUAUUUUCAUGUAAGACUAAGAAGUAGGAGAAACUGUAACUUUGACUCAAAGUCUAUCUUUGUGUGAGAUGGCAUCUGUUUGGCCUGGUCUCCUUCCAUUGAUGGAUUUCCUUGCUGGUUUAAAAAUUAAAACCCUCUUCUUUCAAAAAAGUUUUUUUUUUUCCUGGAGGACCUCU